AUGACUUUUAAUUUGACAGAUUUUCACGGCACUAAAUUACCACCGUAGAAGAUAAAAUGAUCAGAUGCACGGUAUACAGGCGUUCGCGCGAUAUGAUGUGAUCGUCUGCUUUUGAUGAAAGAUCCUAGAUUUAAGUCAUUUUUGGAGAUGUUAGAUCAACAAUCAACGAUGUCAAAGGUGUGGGUUUAGAAUUUCGAAAAAAGAUGCUAAUAUGGAACUGCCAAACAAUCUGAUCAGCACUAAACCUGCUGCAGCUGCAUCGGAAAGCAAUACCUGCCUGAUAUGAUGUCAAUCACUUGCAGAUGACCAAGAUCAUGUUUAGGUACGCCAGAAGGGAGUGAUAGCAUAAAUGCUGCCAGCAAAAAUCGCUUGGACAAGAUUAAAUCCCUACCCGGACAGACCGUUUAUACGUACAUUGUCGGAAAGAUUAUUGUAACCCAAUUCGAAUCAAGCUAUCCUUAAAUAAAAGCCAACACAGACUGUAUUAUCUCCACCAUUACGAUCUAACACUUAACGAUUUAACUUCAGUACAAAUUGUCUAUUUUGUGCUCAACGUGCCAAAUUUGUUGGAAGAAAACGAGGCUAUAAUGUAUACCCUGUUAGAACAGUUGAAUUUAAAAAGAACAUAGAACAAAUAUGUAUCGAUAGGGAUGACAAAUAGGGUUCAUAUAUUAACAGCAGAUUGGAAACAAUACAUGACUUAGCGGCUGCUGUUGCUAUAUACCAUCAGUCAUGCAGCGUAAAUUUUAGGACAGGUAAAAGUAUACCACAGUCAGGCAAUUAAAAAGGAAAGAAGUGUGGAAGACCAGUGAACAUGGCACAGGAAUUUGCUUUCCAGGAAAUAGCAAAGUUCCUGAUUGAAAAUGAUGACGAACAAAUAACACUAAAAGACCGUGUUGACAAAAUGGUAGAACUAUGUGGAGAACUCUCCUAUACAUCAACUCAUAUGAAGAAGAGAUUACUAGAGCAUUUUGGGUCCUCUAUUGUCAUCACAGAAUUAAAUGGAAAGAAGAAUGUAAUCACAUUUAGAAACACUGCAUCAUCAAUUCUUCAUUCAUUUUACCAAAAGUAUAGUAGCGAUUAUGAUGCUUAUAAAAUUGAAAUAAUAAAAACAGCAGCACAACUAUUGCUAACUGCUAUAAAGGAUAUUAAAGCAACAAAAUUGUCUUACCCUGACUCUGCUGAUCUUAUGUCUACACAGGAAAAUAUUGACUACAUUCCGGAUAGUCUAAAAACAUUUCUUAGAGAAAUUUUCAGCGAUAAAAAAGCAGAUGUUAAGAUUGCCUCUAUUGGACAGGCCAUUAUCCAAGCAGUAAGACCAAAGGUUUUGAUUCCUCCUCUACAGAUUGGCUUAGCAGUACAAAUGAAAGAAGAGGUUAAGCUUAUAGAUAUGAUAUAAGCUCCACCUGGAGAAGAAAAAUCAUUAUAUGUGCAUGCAGUUUUGAGCAGUUUUGAGACGUACAGGUUAUCUGUGUAUUAUACUAGAAUGUAAAAUAUGGUAUAAUAGAAGUGUUUUGAUUUUAAGUGUUAACAUUAUAAUACUUAAGUUAUGCGUUAUUUUAAGCUAAUGACAAUGCAACCAAUCUUAGUUUAAUUUUAUUUCAACAUACCGUAAUAUAUUGGCGUGAUUUAAUAGUAACAUGUAUUUAAUGGGUGGGUGGGGUAAGUUUACCCCUGUAAAUGCACUAUUUACAUGAGUAAAUAUGCUAAGAAACUUCAUGAUACACUUAGAAAAUAGAAAAAUAAUACUGUUUUCAUAACUGAUGUAUUACUGAAUACUGUUUUUGUCGGGUGGUUUGCCCGAAAUGUGUUGUUUGAAUAGAAAAUGGAAAAUAUACUUUAUUUAAAAAAGCGUCCGCGAGGGGCAUAAAUAAAAUGAAGUUUUAACAGGUUUGCCCUGGAAAUAUUUCGCUAGACUUUUUUUCUGUCAUCUGUUAUACGUCAUAGAUGAUUUUACACGUGAAACCGUUUCUGUUGCAAUUAGUUGAUGGUUAGGUGCUUUUUUUUCAUAGGAUGACUGGACUACAAGGCGCUUUGUGAUAAUGUUUUGUUUUUCAAGAAUGUUUUAAACCGAUAUCCUAAGAAAAUUUAAUUGUUCUCGUACGUAUUUUUCAAAAUGUUCAUUGUCGGGAGAAGAUUCGGCCAUUGUAUUUAAUGUGUGAGACGCUACUUCUGAAUCGAAUACAGGCAGGUUAUUAUCACUUUCUGAUGGGUACAGAACAGAGUGUGUUUGUGAUAGAAUAUCACUUACAGUGACAUCUUUUGUAUUGGAGCCUUGGCGCUGCUGCUUUAAUCCUUUUUCAUUCUGGUCCGUAGUACUACUUUUCUUUCGUUUCUGUGAUUUUUCGCGCUUUUUAUUUCCUCCCAUGUGUACGUAAUUAAUUGAUCACAGCUUUCAUCUAACAGUAACGGUUGGCGUUUAUCAAAUUUUGCAGCAGUAGUAUAAACAUGCGUUGCAUUCAUGCGUGACGAUCCGGCGGACAAGAGAUAGUGAGCAGUUGUCAAUCCGUUAAUCCGUAUAUUUGGCGCGAGAUAACAUCCUGAAUAAUCAACCUUAUAUCGUCCAACACAAAGAAAAGAAACAAGUUAUAUGUUAUUAGCACAAUUCAUUUAAUUCACGUUGAGACUCACUUGUUAUUUUGAUAUAUCCAGAUAUAUCUGAUAAUCCACACAUAUAAAUCACUUUAAAACUAUAUUAUUUUGCACUGAGACAAACGUUCGCGUCUGACAACACCGGAAGCGAAAGCACAUCUAUAAGACCACAUCAUAUGUGUCAAAGAAAAAGACCCAAGUAGAACAUUUAACAAUGAUGCUAGUGUUUCACGUGUCAUGUCACCGGAAGAACAUACAAAUGUAUGUAUAUUCAUAGGGCAUAUCGUAUGCUUAUAAGCGUUGGCUGUCUAUUACUUAAUGUCAGUGUUUACUUAAGACGAAAUAUUGUAUUGGACAGAUAAUAUCGCAAAGUAAUAUGAAAGCUCUUUUAGACCAAAACCAUUUGUAAAAUAAUGGUCAAUUACGUCCAUUAUAACAUAUUGAAGAUUGUUUGUAUUUUGCUAUUUUCCCUUGUCGGCAAACUGAUUAGUACAUAGUUCAUGACUCUUGCUUCUCUGCCAUGAUAGAUCCGGUAACUCUGUGCACUUCCACAUAUUCGUAUGAAUAUAAUCUGCCAAUUGAU